rnacentral:rRNA from 1 species
AGAGUUUGAUCCUGGCUCAGAUUGAACGCUGGCGGCAGGCCUAACACAUGCAAGUCGAACGGUAACAGGAAGCAGCUUGCUGCUUCGCUGACGAGUGGCGGACGGGUGAGUAAUGUCUGGGAAACUGCCUGAUGGAGGGGGAUAACUACUGGAAACGGUAGCUAAUACCGCAUAACGUCGCAAGACCAAAGAGGGGGACCUUCGGGCCUCUUGCCAUCGGAUGUGCCCAGAUGGGAUUAGCUAGUAGGUGGGGUAACGGCUCACCUAGGCGACGAUCCCUAGCUGGUCUGAGAGGAUGACCAGCCACACUGGAACUGAGACACGGUCCAGACUCCUACGGGAGGCAGCAGUGGGGAAUAUUGCACAAUGGGCGCAAGCCUGAUGCAGCCAUGCCGCGUGUAUGAAGAAGGCCUUCGGGUUGUAAAGUACUUUCAGCGGGGAGGAAGGCGAUAAGGUUAAUAACCUUGUCGAUUGACGUUACCCGCAGAAGAAGCACCGGCUAACUCCGUGCCAGCAGCCGCGGUAAUACGGAGGGUGCAAGCGUUAAUCGGAAUUACUGGGCGUAAAGCGCACGCAGGCGGUCUGUCAAGUCGGAUGUGAAAUCCCCGGGCUCAACCUGGGAACUGCAUUCGAAACUGGCAGGCUAGAGUCUUGUAGAGGGGGGUAGAAUUCCAGGUGUAGCGGUGAAAUGCGUAGAGAUCUGGAGGAAUACCGGUGGCGAAGGCGGCCCCCUGGUGGCGAAGGCGGCCCCCUGGACAAAGACUGACGCUCAGGUGCGAAAGCGUGGGGGAGCAAACAGGAUUAGAUACCCUGGUAGUCCACGCCGUAAACGAUGUCGACUUGGAGGUUGUGCCCUUGAGGCGUGGCUUCCGGAGCUAACGCGUUAAGUCGACCGCCUGGGGAGUACGGCCGCAAGGUUAAAACUCAAAUGAAUUGACGGGGGCCCGCACAAGCGGUGGAGCAUGUGGUUUAAUUCGAUGCAACGCGAAGAACCUUACCUACUCUUGACAUCCAGAGAACUUUCCAGAGAUGGAUUGGUGCCUUCGGGAACUCUGAGACAGGUGCUGCAUGGCUGUCGUCAGCUCGUGUUGUGAAAUGUUGGGUUAAGUCCCGCAACGAGCGCAACCCUUAUCCUUUGUUGCCAGCGGUUAGGCCGGGAACUCAAAGGAGACUGCCAGUGAUAAACUGGAGGAAGGUGGGGAUGACGUCAAGUCAUCAUGGCCCUUACGAGUAGGGCUACACACGUGCUACAAUGGCGCAUACAAAGAGAAGCGACCUCGCGAGAGCAAGCGGACCUCAUAAAGUGCGUCGUAGUCCGGAUUGGAGUCUGCAACUCGACUCCAUGAAGUCGGAAUCGCUAGUAAUCGUGGAUCAGAAUGCCACGGUGAAUACGUUCCCGGGCCUUGUACACACCGCCCGUCACACCAUGGGAGUGGGUUGCAAAAGAAGUAGGUAGCUUAACCUUCGGGAGGGCGCUUACCACUUUGUGAUUCAUGACUGGGGUGAAGUCGUAACAAGGUAGCCGU